CUGACAGCCUUGUUAACCAAAGUCCCCUCUCUAACUAAAAAAUAAAAAAUUCUCAGCACAAGCAGCAAUAGUGCAAGUUUUCCCUCACUGCCAUGUCACUGUACCUCAAUUCUGAUUGACAGAGACCAUCUCGAAAGUGAGAGUUUAUUUCAGUUUCCACGACCCAUUUAGCCCUUGGCCUGU
rnacentral:sRNA from 1 species